CCUGACUAAGAAGCCCCGGCUAACUACGUGCCAGCAGCCGCGGUAAUACGGGGGAUGCAAGCGUUAUCCGGAUUUAUUGGGUUUAAAGGGUGCGUAGGCUGUGAGGUAAGUCAGCGGUGAGAUGCCCCCGAUCAACGGGGUGAAGUGCCAUUGAUACUGCCUUGCUGGAAUGCGGAUGCCGUGGGAUGAAUGUGUGGUGUAGCGGUGAAAUGCAUAGAUAUCACACAGAACACCGAUUGCGAAGGCAUCUCACGAAUCCGCGAUUGACGCUGAUGCACGAAAGCGUGGGUAUCAAACA
rnacentral:rRNA from 1 species